CCUACGGGUGGCAGCAGUGGGGAAUAUUGGACAAUGGGGGCAACCCUGAUCCAGCCAUGCCGCGUGUGUGAAGAAGGCCCUCGGGUUGUAAAGCACUUUCAGUGAGGAAGAACGCCUGGUGGUUAAUACCCAUCAGGAAAGACAUCACUCAUAGAAGAAGCACCGGCUAACUCCGUGCCAGCAGCCGCGGUAAUACGGAGGGUGCGAGCGUUAAUCGGAAUUACUGGGCGUAAAGCGCGCGUAGGUGGCUUGAUAAGCCGGUUGUGAAAGCCCCGGGCUCAACCUGGGAACGGCAUCCGGAACUGUCAAGCUUGAGUGCAGGAGAGGAAGGUAGAAUUCCCGGUGUAGCGGUGAAAUGCGUAGAGAUCGGGAGGAAUACCAGUGGCGAAGGCGGCCUUCUGGACUGACACUGACACUGAGGUGCGAAAGCGUGGGUAGCAAACAGGAUUAGAUACCCCAGUAGUC
rnacentral:rRNA from 1 species